rnacentral:rRNA from 1 species
GACUAACGUUGGCGGUGUGCCUAACACAUGCAAGUCGAACGGCAGCACGGACUUCGGUCUGGUGGCGAGUGGCGAACGGGUGAGUAAUGCAUCGGAACGUGCCCAAUCGUGGGGGAUAACGUAGCGAAAGUUACGCUAAUACCGCAUACGAUCUAAGGAUGAAAGCGGGGGAUCGCAAGACCUCGCGCGAAUGGAGCGGCCGAUGUUAGAUGAGGUAGUUGGUGGGGUAAAGGCUCACCAAGCCGACGAUCUAUAGCUGGUCUGAGAGGAUGAUCAGACACACUGGGACUGAGACACGGCCCAGACUCCUACGGGAGGCAGCAGUGGGGAAUUUUGGACAAUGGGCGCAAGCCUGAUCCAGCCAUUCCGCGUGCAGGGUGAAGGCCCUCGGGUUGUAAACUGCUUUUGUACAGAACGAAAAGCUCUGGGUUAAUACCCUGGGGUCAUGACGGUACUGUAAGGAUAAGCACCGGCUAACUACGUGCCAGCCGCGCCGUAA